rnacentral:tRNA from 1 species
UCCCAGGUGGCUCAGAUGGUAAAGAAUCUGCCUGCAAUGCAGGAGACCCAAGUUCGAUCCCUGGGUCGGGAA